CUCCUCCAGCUCCUUCUCCACCACCAUAUCCACCUGCAUGUGCCCCUCCACCACCAUAUCCUCCUGCACUUGCUCCUCCACCACCACUUCCACCACCACCUCCAUGUCCACCGGCUCCUCCAUACCCGCCAGCACCACCAGCACCACCAGCUCCGCCUCCUUCACCACCUCCACCACCAUAUCCAGAAGCUCCACCACCAUAUCCACCUGCACUAGCUCCGCCGCCACCACUACCACCACCACCACCACCUCCAUGUCCACCUGCUCCUCCAUACCCCCCGGCACCACCAGUUCCACCUCCUUCGCCACCUCCACCGCCAUAUCCAGAAGCUCCACCACCAUAUCCACCUGCACUAGCUCCACCGCCACCACUACCACCACCACCUCCAUGUCCACCUGCUCCUCCAUACCCGCCGGCACCACCAGCUCCGCCUCCUUCGCCACCUCCACCACCAUAUCCAGAAGGUCCACCACCGUAUCCACCUGUACUAGCUCCGCCGCCACCACUACCACCACCACCUCCAUGUCCACCUGCACCACCAGCUCCACCGGCACCACCAGCUCCACCUCCUUCACCACCCCCACCGCCAUAUCCAGAAGCUCCACCACCAUAUCCACCUGCACUAGCUCCGCCACUACCACCACCACCACCACCUCCAUGUCCACCUGCUCCUCCAUACCCCCCGGCACCACCAGUUCCACCUCCUUCGCCACCUCCACCGCCAUAUCCAGAAGCUCCACCACCAUAUCCACCUGCACUAGCUCCACCGCCACCACUACCACCACCACCUCCAUGUCCACCUGCUCCUCCAUACCCGCCGGCACCACCAGCUCCACCUCCUUCGCCACCUCCACCGCCAUAUCCAGAAGCUCCACCACCAUAUCCACCUGCACUAGCUCCGCCACCACCACUACCACCACCACCUCCAAUUCCACCCGCUCCUCCAUACCCGCCGGCACCACCAGCUCCGCCUCCUUCACCACCUCCACCACCAUAUCCAGAAGCUCCACCGCCAUAUCCACCUGCACUAGCUCCACCACCACCAUUGCCACCUCCUCCACCACCUCCAUAACCAGCAGGACCGCCACCACCACCUUCUCCUUUACCACCACCACCUCCAUAUCCAGCAGCUCCGGCUUCUCCUAGAUUUGCAUGGGCACCGCCACCUCCUGCACCUCCUCCACCUCCUCCUCCAAGGUAGCCAUUACCAUAUACCCCAACAUUGGCACCACCAUGACCAAUGCUCGAAAGGUGAGGAG
rnacentral:lncRNA from 1 species